GGGGGUGUCCUGGCUUCGACGGGGGUAGUGAGAUGACCUGGUGCAUGCCGAGGGGGCAGCUUUCCUCGUUAAUCCAGCAGCAAACUCAUAGUUGCCAACGACGACAACUACGCUCUGGCCGCUUAAGGCCUAGCCCCGAACCCACUUGUGCUCGUGCUCGUCGGUGUAGGGUCAUUAUCACGGGAUCGCCGAAGACUGCCGCCUGGCGGUACUAGGUCAAAUCAAUCAGGCUGGUUCCGCGGUGCGCCUCGCCCAUCGUGCUUGUCGCGGAACGA
rnacentral:tmRNA from 1 species